GAUGAACGCUGGCGGCGUGCCUAAUACAUGCAAGUCGAGCGAACGGACGAGAAGCUUGCUUCUCUGAUGUUAGCGGCGGACGGGUGAGUAGCACGUGGAUAACCUACCUAUAAGACUGGGAUAACUUCGGGAAACCGUAGCUAAUACCGGAUAAUAUUUUGAACCGCAUGGUUCAAAAGUGAAAGACGGUCUUGCUGUCACUUAUAGAUGGAUCCGCGCUGCAUUAGCUAGUUGGUAAGGUAACGGCUUACCAAGGCAACGAUGCAUAGCCGACCUGAGAGGGUGAUCGGCCACACUGGAACUGAGACACGGUCCAGACUCCUACGGGAGGCAGCAGUAGGGAAUCUUCCGCAAUGGGCGAAAGCCUGACGGAGCAACGCCGCGUGAGUGAUGAAGGUCUUCGGAUCGUAAAACUCUGUUAUUAGGGAAGAACAUAUGUGUAAGUAACUGUGCACAUCUUGACGGUACCUAAUCAGAAAGCCACGGCUAACUACG
rnacentral:rRNA from 1 species